rnacentral:rRNA from 1 species
UACAGAGGUCUCAAGCGUUGUUCGGAUUCAUUGGGCGUAAAGGGUGCGUAGGCUGCGGGGCAAGUCGGGUGUGAAAUCUCAGAGCUCAACUCUGAAACUGCACUCGAUACUGCUUUGCUUGAGGACUGGAGAGGAGAUUGGAAUUUACGGUGUAGCAGUGAAAUGCGUAGAUAUCGUGAGGAAGACCAGUGGCGAAGGCGGAUCUCUGGACAGUUCCUGACGCUGAGGCGCGAAGGCCAGGGGAGCAAACGGG